rnacentral:rRNA from 1 species
GAUGAACGCUGGCGGCGUGCCUAAUACAUGCAAGUCGAGCGAAUGGAUUAAGAGCUUGCUCUUAUGAAGUUAGCGGCGGACGGGUGAGUAACACGUGGGUAACCUGCCCAUAAGACUGGGAUAACUCCGGGAAACCGGGGCUGAUACCGGAUAACAUUUUGAACCGCAUGGUUCGAACUUGAACGGCGGCUUCGGCUGUCACUUAUGGAUGGACACGCGUCUCAUUAGCUAGUUGGUGAGGUAACGGCUCACCAAGGCAACGAUGCGUAGCCGACCUGAGAGGGUGAGCGGCCACACUGGGACUGAGACACGGCCCAGACUCCUACGGGAGGCAGCAGUAGGGAAUCUUCCGCAAUGGACGAAAGUCUGACGGAGCAACGCCGCGUGAGUGAUGAAGGCUUUCGGGUCGUAAAACUCUGUUGUUAGGGAAGAACAAGUGCUAGUUGAAUAAGCUGGCACCUUGACGGUACCUAACCAGAAAGCCACGGCUAACUACGUGCCAGCCGCCGCGGUAA